rnacentral:rRNA from 1 species
GACGGAGGAUGCAAGCGUUAUCCGGAGUUAUUGGGCGUAAAGGGUGCGCAGGCGGCCGAGUGUGUCAGAUGUGAAAUCCCGAGGCUCAACCUCGGAACUGCGUCUGAAACUACUCGGCUAGAGUAUUGGAGAGGGUAACGGAAUUCACGGUGUAGCAGUGAAAUGCGUAGAUAUCGUGAGGAACACCAGAGGCGAAGGCGGUUACCUGGACAAUUACUGACGCUCAGGCACGAAAGCGUGGGGAGCAAAAGGG